rnacentral:rRNA from 1 species
UACAGAGGUCCCAAGCGUUGUUCGGAUUCACUGGGCGUAAAGGGUGCGUAGGUGGUGAGGUAAGUCGGAUGUGAAAUCUCGGAGCUUAACUCCGAAACUGCAUUGGAAACUACCUUGCUCGAGGGUUGGAGGGGGGACUGGAAUUCUCGGUGUAGCAGUGAAAUGCGUAGAUAUCGAGAGGAACACCAGUGGCGAAGGCGAGUCCCUGGACGAUACCUGACACUGAGGCACGAAAGCCGGGGGAGCAAACAGG